rnacentral:rRNA from 1 species
UCCUGGUGGCGAGUGGCGAACGGGUGAGUAAUAUAUCGGAACGUGCCCAGUCGUGGGGGAUAACGCAGCGAAAGCUGUGCUAAUACCGCAUACGAUCUACGGAUGAAAGCGGGGGAUCGCAAGACCUCGCGCGAUUGGAGCGGCCGAUAUCAGAUUAGCUAGUUGGUGGGGUAAAAGCCCACCAAGGCGACGAUCUGUAGCUGGUCUGAGAGGACGACCAGCCACACUGGAACUGAGACACGGUCCAGACUCCUACGGGAGGCAGCAGUGGGGAAUUUUGGACAAUGGGCGCAAGCCUGAUCCAGCAAUGCCGCGUGCAGGAUGAAGGCCUUCGGGUUGUAAACUGCUUUUGUACGGAGCGAAACGGCUUCCCCUAAUACGGGGAGCUAAUGACGGUACCGUAAGAAUAAGCACCGGCUAACUACGUGCCAGCAGCCGCGGUAAUACGUAGGGUGCGAGCGUUAAUCGGAAUUACUGGGCGUAAAGCGUGCGCAGGCGGUUAUAUA